rnacentral:rRNA from 1 species
CGAACGCUGGCGGCAUGCCUAACACAUGCAAGUCGAACGAACCCUUCGGGGUUAGUGGCGCACGGGUGCGUAACGCGUGGGAAUCUGCCCUUUGCUUCGGAAUAACUCAGGGAAACUUGUGCUAAUACCGGAUGAUGUCUUCGGACCAAAGAUUUAUCGGCAAGGGAUGAGCCCGCGUAGGAUUAGGUAGUUGGUGGGGUAAAGGCCUACCAAGCCGACGAUCCUUAGCUGGUCUGAGAGGAUGAUCAGCCACACUGGGACUGAGACACGGCCCAGACUCCUACGGGAGGCAGCAGUGGGGAAUAUUGGACAAUGGGCGCAAGCCUGAUCCAGCAAUGCCGCGCGAGUGAUGAAGGCCCUCGGGUCGUAAAGCUCUUUUACCAGGGAUGAUAAUGACAGUACCUGGAGAAUAAGCUCCGGCUAACUCCGUG